AUACUUACCUGGCAGGGGAGAUACCAUGAUCAUGAAGGUGGUUUUCCCAGGGCGAGGCUCACCCAUUGCACUCCGGGUGUGCUGACCCCUGUGAUUUCCCCAAAUGUGGGAAACUCGACUGCAUAAUUUGUGGUAGUGGGGGGAUUA
rnacentral:snRNA from 1 species